CUAGCCCUAGAUCGCUCGAAGAAACGAGAGUUGGACACGAAUUAUAUUCCACUGUUUACACUGUUCGACAAAUUCGGAGCGAUCCAACGACGACUAUCUUGGAUUCUUUCGAUCCGCUCAUCGUUUCUCAGUUUCGUCGCUAUGUAACUUGACGGGGAAACGUUUCGUUUUGCGUAAAAAGAAAUCUUUCUUUGAAGAGGACGCACAGUGGAAGGGAUCCACGGAAACACGAACUAAAUUAACUUAACCAACUAAAUUAACGAACUUAUUGUUAUGUUUACCUCUUUCAUUGUAAGUAGCAAAAUUACAACAAAAUUAUUCUAACAAAA